ensembl:snRNA U6 U6 spliceosomal RNA
GUGCUCGAUUUGGAAGCACACAUACUAAAGUUGGAAUGGUACAGAGAAGAUCCGCGUGUUCUCUGUGCAAGGAGGACAUGUAAGUUUGUGACACAUUCCAUAUUUUU